rnacentral:lncRNA from 1 species
GCAUCCCCAGAUCCGGGUCCCGAAUCGCCGCGGAUCCGGUUCAAUCAUUCUACAACUGUUUGCGGAAGAUAUAAACAUAGAUUGUUUAUACAUUAAACUUUACACACUAUUCCCAAAAUCGAGUAACCUUAACUAAUACACAAUCGUGAACUGUCUAACACAUGACAAUACUAUUCUUCAACAUACUUUACAACUUAACUUCACAUUCUAUCCCAAGCUGAACUUGGCAUUAUCCUUUUCCUGUAUCUGGCCGUAUUCGCCUUAUCUGCAAUGUUUUAUC